rnacentral:rRNA from 1 species
GGUGGCGAGUGGCGGACGGGUGAGGAAUACAUCGGAAUCUACUUUUUCGUGGGGGAUAACGUAGGGAAACUUACGCUAAUACCGCAUACGACCUACGGGUGAAAGCAGGGGAUCUUCGGACCUUGCGCGAUUGAAUGAGCCGAUGUCGGAUUAGCUAGUUGGCGGGGUAAAGGCCCACCAAGGCGACGAUCCGUAGCUGGUCUGAGAGGAUGAUCAGCCACACUGGAACUGAGACACGGUCCAAAC